rnacentral:rRNA from 1 species
AUUGAACGCUGGCGGUAGGCCUAGCACAUGCAAGUCGAACGCGAAAGUCCUUCGGGAUGAGUAGAGUGGCGGACGGGUGAGUAACGCGUAGGAAUCUAUCCUGUAGAGGGGGAUAACGUUUCGAAAGGAACGCUAAUACCGCAUACGCCCCAAGGGGGAAAGCGGGGGAUCUUCGGACCUCGUGCUAUAGGAGGAGCCUGCGUCGGAUUAGCUAGUUGGUGAGGGAAAGGCUCACCAAGGCGACGAUCCGUAGCUGGUCUGAGAGGAUGAUCAGCCACACCGGAACUGAGACACGGCCCGGACUCCUACGGGAGGCAGCAGUGGGGAAUAUUGCGCAAUGGGCGAAAGCCUGACGCAGCCAUACCGCGUGUGUGAAGAAGGCCUUCGGGUUGUAAAGCACUUUCAGUGGGGAGGAAAAGCUGGUGGCUAAUAUCCAUCGGCCGUGACGCUACCCACAGAAGAAGCACCGGCUAAUUCCGUGCCAGCAGCCGCCGUAACAC